rnacentral:lncRNA from 1 species
AGCCCUGCCGGAUAGCUGACACCGUAUGUAUGCAACCCCAUAGAGAGGUCGUAGGUUCGAUCUUUUGCUUGAGGGGCUGUUCGAGGGUCCUCCCGAAGGGCUGUCCGAGUGACCGUCCGAGUUUCUUAGAGUGCCUCCCUAAGGACUGUCCGACUGCGUUCCGAAGGGUUGUCCGAGGUAUAGAUGCGGGAGAACAUCGUCGCGGUUGGGAGGUUGUAAAUCCUAGCUGCGGGGAUCUGCAUUGAUGAUCUACACCGACUGUACUUCCACUGCACUACAAGUCGGUAAUAAUCAGAUCUAAACCUUGUAUGCAUCUCCAUAGUGAUCCUGGGCAUGUUCGUAGUGCGGAAAUUUUUCAUUUUCUGUCGCAUUCCCCUACAACAUUUUCUUGAACAGAGUACGGGUCACUCGGAAAGGCAUCAAGGAAUAGCGACGUGUUAAGCUACGGAAUUAUGCUCCCUGAAGCCUUCACUGAAAGGAGACCCAUAGACCCUAUAUUUGGCGCACAACUAACACUUAGGCAGUGGGUUUAUUCAUCGGGCAUUUCCUGCAGAACUUGUCCAAGUUGUAAAUGGUCAGCUGCUGCAACGUUCCUCUCUUCCUUGCUGCAGCCGGGACGGUUGUUUUCCAGCGUCGAUCUUCGAAUUGGGAUUGAUCUGCUCUAGCGACUUGCCUGGCCAGAGGAUGACUAUGAUAGAUGUGGUUGUUACGCUCAAGAGAUCAAAGCUGAGUACACCAAACUAAUACAAUUAGGAUUUGAAACGUUCACAAGAAAAAGAAGAAACAUUACAAAAAUUUCUGAACAUAACCUUAUCUUAUUUUAAUUUGUAGUUAUUGUAAUUAGAAGCAUUUCCCUGCAAAAAUAAAAUAGAAGCAUCAAAUAUGGCCUAAAUAUAUCUGAAUCAUAUUGUGAAUUUAGAUGGGAAAUGUAACAGAAUGGAUUUGUAUUUCCUCCUAAUUUUUAUUUCUAAUUAUUAUGGUAAAUUAUUUUGGACUAUGAAAAAUAACUCUAUAACGAAAGUAUCGUAACCUUGGACCAGCCAGGCAAGCAAACAGGCAAUUAUGCCAAAAAGGCAAGCUAAAAGACUGUGAGAAGUGAGAGAAGGCCCUUUCUACACAACGAAAAGUCACGUGUCAAAAGGAUAAUAAAAAGACAAAGAGAAGUGGGAAAAGGUCAUUUCCAUACAACAAAAAUGCACUUGUGCCAAUGUCAGAAGAAACCUGACACAUCAUAUAUAAAAGAAAGGCACUUAUGCCAAAGGGUGUGCAGCUAUCAUCGUGCAUGCGUAGCUACCACCAUGCAUAGAAAAUCACCUCUCUAUUGUGAAUUUAGAUGGGAAAUGUAACAGAACGGAGUUGUGUUUCCUACCAAUUUUUUAUCUAGAUUAGAUUUCACAAUAAAUGUGGUAUUUAUAAUUCUCUAAUUAUUGAAGGGAUUAUGACAUACCAAGUUAAUGUACACCAAAGUUUACCAUUUUUGCAUCCCAUAAUAUAAAC